UACGUAGGGGGCUAGCGUUGUCCGGAAUCAUUGGGCGUAAAGAGCGUGUAGGCGGCCCGAUUAGUCCGCUGUGAAAGUCCAGGGCUCAACCCUGGAAUGCCGGUGGAUACUGUCGGGCUAGAGUCCGGAAGGGGCGGGUGGAAUUCCUGGUGUAGCGGUGAAAUGCGCAGAUAUCAGGAGGAACACCAAUGGCGAAGGCAGCUCGCUGGGACGUGACUGACGCUGAGACGCGAAAGCGUGGGGAGCAAACAGG
rnacentral:rRNA from 1 species